rfam:Schistosoma mansoni strain Puerto Rico chromosome 2, complete genome
GGACUGCUGAGGAGUCCAACAAUAGGACGAAACGGUCGUCUUAAUAU